GCAUUGAGUGACGAAUCGCUGUCGCAGCUACACGAACAGAAAGCCAUUUACUGGCCUUUCAAACUGGUGCUGUGGGGAAAGUCCCCGGAGAUACAGAGACAGUCAUCGUGCACGCCUCAUCCCCUGCUAGGAGAGCGCCCAGCUCAAAGUAUGCUGAGGAUACGUCGGAGGAAAUACCGUGGCGUGUGCGGUGCGGAUGGGGUCGUUUUUAUUCGGUGUCAUUCCCUCCGACUCCGUGAAGUGGUCUGAUACCGGUAUCACCCUCGUCCACUCUGUCGCCCGCUUUAAUCGGUGCGCCUUCUCUACUCGUUCUCUCCCACAAAAGGGUCUCGAGAUGAGUCAAGGCACCUUUUGCACGAAGAUACGAGUGCAAAGUGGUGCUGGAGAUGUCCUGUGCGUCGAAGCGGGCGUCCCCGUUGCUCAUAGACAGAGUUAUGCGAUUGCUGGCACAUUGGUUGCCAUCGACAGAAUGGGGCUUACCGUCACUCAAUG
rnacentral:RNase_MRP_RNA from 2 species